rnacentral:misc_RNA from 1 species
GAUGAAGAACGUAGUGAAAUGCGAAAAGCAAUGCGAAUUGCAGAAUUCCGCGAGUCAUCAGAUCUUCGAACGCACCUCGCGCCAAUCGGAUCUCCGAUCGGCAUGUUUGAUUCAGUGUCUUGUUGAGACUUGCAUAUCUCAUUGUGAUUGACUCUUCGCUACUUGUAGAGAAGUGUCUUUCAUGAAAAUAGAUUGCGCAUACCGCAACGAUGCAGUAGUCAGUUAACGCUGAUACUCAUCGGUGAAAUGGUAUGAUUACGUAAUGUUGGAAACAACAAUACAUAAAACUCAUCCACAUGCAUCUGAAUCAAGCAAGAACACCCGCUGAACUUAAGCAUAUCAAUAAGCGGAGGA